GCGCCCGUAGUCCAACGGCAGAGGCAGCCGCCUCAAAAGCGGUACAGUGCUGGUUCAAAUCCGGCCGGGCGCACCA
rnacentral:tRNA from 1 species